rnacentral:rRNA from 1 species
AUUCUGGCUCAGGAUGAACGCUGGCGGCGUGCUUAACACAUGCAAGUCGAACGGGAUCCAUCAAGCUUGCUUGGUGGUGAGAGUGGCGAACGGGUGAGUAAUGCGUGACCGACCUGCCCCAUGCUCCGGAAUAGCUCCUGGAAACGGGUGGUAAUGCCGGAUGUUCCACAUGAUCGCAUGUGAUUGUGGGAAAGAUUCUAUCGGCGUGGGAUGGGGUCGCGUCCUAUCAGCUUGUUGGUGAGGUAACGGCUCACCAAGGCUUCGACGGGUAGCCGGCCUGAGAGGGCGACCGGCCACAUUGGGACUGAGAUACGGCCCAGACUCCUACGGGAGGCAGCAGUGGGGAAUAUUGCACAAUGGGCGCAAGCCUGAUGCAGCGACGCCGCGUGAGGGAUGGAGGCCUUCGGGUUGUAAACCUCUUUUGUUUGGGAGCAAGCCUUCGGGUGAGUGUACCUUUCGAAUAAGCGCCGGCUAACUACGUGCCAGCAGCCGCGGUAAUACGUAGGGCGCAAGCGUUAUCCGGAUUUAUUGGGCGUAAAGGGCUCGUAGGCGGCUCGUCGCGUCCGGUGUGAAAGUCCAUCGCUUAACGGUGGAUCUGCGCCGGGUACGGGCGGGCUGGAGUGCGGUAGGGGAGACUGGAAUUCCCGGUGUAACGGUGGAAUGUGUAGAUAUCGGGAAGAACACCGAUGGCGAAGGCAGGUCUCUGGGCCGUCACUGACGCUGAGGAGCGAAAGCGUGGGGAGCGAACAGGAUUAGAUACCCUGGUAGUCCACGCCGUAAACGGUGGACGCUGGAUGUGGGGCACGUUCCACGUGUUCCGUGUCGGAGCUAACGCGUUAAGCGUCCCGCCUGGGGAGUACGGCCGCAAGGCUAAAACUCAAAGAAAUUGACGGGGGCCCGCACAAGCGGCGGAGCAUGCGGAUUAAUUCGAUGCAACGCGAAGAACCUUACCUGGGCUUGACAUGUUCCCGACGACGCCAGAGAUGGCGUUUCCCUUCGGGGCGGGUUCACAGGUGGUGCAUGGUCGUCGUCAGCUCGUGUCGUGAGAUGUUGGGUUAAGUCCCGCAACGAGCGCAACCCUCGCCCCGUGUUGCCAGCACGUUAUGGUGGGAACUCACGGGGGACCGCCGGGGUUAACUCGGAGGAAGGUGGGGAUGACGUCAGAUCAUCAUGCCCCUUACGUCCAGGGCUUCACGCAUGCUACA